UACGUAGGCAGCGAGCGUUGUUCGGAAUUACUGGGCGUAAAGAGUGUGUAGGCGGUGCUCUAAGUUCGGUGUGAAAUCUCCCGCUUAACUGGGAGGGUGCGCCGGAAACUGGAGUGCUCGAGCGUGGGAGAGGAAAGCGGAAUUCCUGGUGUAGCGGUGAAAUGCGUAGAUAUCAGGAGGAACACCUGCGGUGUAGACGGCUUCUGGACCAUUGCUGACGCUGAGACACGAAAGCGUGGGUAGCAAACAGG
rnacentral:rRNA from 1 species